rnacentral:rRNA from 1 species
AUUGAACGCUGGCGGCAGGCCUAACACAUGCAAGUCGAGCGAGUGGCGGACGUGUGAGUAAUGUCUGGGAAACUGCCCGAGGGAGGGGGAUCGCUACUGGAAACGGUAGCUACUACCGCAUACCAUCGGAUGUGCCCAGAUGGGAUUAGCUAGUGGGUGGGGUAACGGCUCACCUAGGCGACGAUCCCUAGCUGGUCUGAGAGGAUGACCAGCCACACUGGAACUGAGACACGGUCCAGACUCCUACGGGAGGCAGCAGUGGGGAAUAUUGCACAAUGGGCGAAAGCCUGAUACAGCCAGGCCGCGUGUGUGAAGAAGGUCUUCGGGUUGUAAAGUACUGUCAGUGGGGAGGCGUUACUCACAGAAGAAGCACCGGCUAACUCCGUGCCAGCAGCCGCGGUAAUAC